rnacentral:rRNA from 1 species
AGGUAGCGAAAUUCCUUGUCGGGUAAGUUCCGACCUGCACGAAUGGCGUAAUGAUGGCCAGGCUGUCUCCACCCGAGACUCAGUGAAAUUGAACUCGCUGUGAAGAUGCAGUGUACCCGCGGCAAGACGGAAAGACCCCGUGAACCUUUACUAUAGCUUGACACUGAACAUUGAGCCUUGAUGUGUAGGAUAGGUGGGAGGCUUUGAAGUGUGGACGCCAGUCUGCAUGGAGCCGACCUUGAAAUACCACCCUUUAAUGUUUGAUGUUCUAACGUUGACCCGUAAUCCGGGUUGCGGACAGUGUCUGGUGGGUAGUUUGACUGGGGCGGUCUCCUCCUAAAGAGUAACGGAGGAGCACGAAGGUUGGCUAAUCCUGGUCGGACAUCAGGAGGUUAGUGCAAUGGCAUAAGCCAGCUUGACUGCGAGCGUGACGGCGCGAGCAGGUGCGAAAGCAGGUCAUAGUGAUCCGGUGGUUCUGAAUGGAAGGGCCAUCGCUCAACGGAUAAAAGGUACUCCGGGGAUAACAGGCUGAUACCGCCCAAGAGUUCAUAUCGACGGCGGUGUUUGGCACCUCGAUGUCGGCUCAUCACAUCCUGGGGCUGAAGUAGGUCCCAAGGGUAUGGCUGUUCGCCAUUUAAAGUGGUACGCGAGCUGGGUUUAGAACGUCGUGAGACAGUUCGGUCCCUAUCUGCCGUGGGCGCUGGAGAACUGAGGGGGGCUGCUCCUAGUACGAGAGGACCGGAGUGGACGCAUCACUGGUGUUCGGGUUGUCAUGCCAAUGGCACUGCCCGGUAGCUAAAUGCGGAAGAGAUAAGUGCUGAAAGCAUCUAAGCACGAAACUUGCCCCGAGAUGAGUUCUCCCUGACUCCUUGAGAGUCCUGAAGGAACGUUGAAGACGACGACGUUGAUAGGCCGG